rnacentral:rRNA from 1 species
CCCUUAGAUGUUCUGGGCCGCACGCGCGCUACACUGAUGCAUUCAACGAGUUUUACCUUGGCCGAGAGGCCUGGGCAAUCUUUUAAACCUGCAUCGUGAUAGGGAUAGAUUAUUGCAAUUAUUAAUCUUGAACGAGGAAUUCCUAGUAAACGCGAAUCAUCAAUUCGCAUUGAUUACGUCCCUGCCCUUUGUACACACCGCCCGUCGCUACUACUGAUUGGAUGUUUAAGCGAGGUUCUCGAACUGCUAGCGACUUAGCUUCGGUGAGGUCGCAGUGUGGGAAGUGAACCUAGCUUUGGUGUCUAGAGGAAGUAAAAGUCGUAACA